rnacentral:rRNA from 1 species
ACGGAGGAUGCAAGCGUUAUCCGGAUUCAUUGGGUUUAAAGGGUGCGUAGGCGGGGUAAUAAGUCAGUGGUGAAAGCCUACAGCUUAACUGUAGAAUUGCCGUUGAUACUGUUAUCCUUGAGUAUAGUUGAGGUAGCUGGAAUGUGAGGUGUAGCGGUGAAAUGAGUAGAGAUCGGGAGGAAGACCGGUGGCGAAGGCGGGCACCUGGACUAAGACUGACGCUCAGGUGCGAAAGCGUGGGGAGCAAACAG